UUAGAUGUCCGGGGCCGCACGCGCGCUACACUGAAGGAAACAGCGUGUGUUCUCCCGGUCCGGCGGGGCCGGGUAACCCGCUGAACCUCCUUCGUGAUAGGGAUAGGGGCUUGUAACUGUUCCCCUCGAACGAGGAAUACCUAGUAGUCGCGGAUCAUAAGUCCGCGGCGAUUAUGUCCCUGCCCUUUGUGCACACCGCCCGUCGCUACUAGCGAUUGAAUGGAUUAGUGAGGUCUUCGGACCGGCGUUCGUCUCCGGACUUCGGUCCGGGGGGUUCUGCCGGAAAGAUGACCGAACUUGUCCGUUUAGAGGUAGUAAAAGUCGUAACAAGGUUACC
rnacentral:rRNA from 1 species